AUUUAUAUUUUAUAUUUCACACUUAUAUUUGUAUUUUUAUUUGUUAGUUUGCACCAUUAUUCUCCUGCAUUUGGCUACAAAGAUUACGAGGAAAGAUUGGAUGAUGCAUUUAUGAAGGUAGCAAUCUUGGACGAAGGUUUGGAAACCAACUUCUUUCAGCUAUUAACUUUUGAAAAAAAAAAUUUCAGCUAUUAACUCGAGAUGUUAUUGUUCGUGGUAUGGAUUUUAGUAAAGGUUAGUAAGGUGAGUUCACUUGAUUCCCUGGCUUAAGGUUUUGUCCUGAAUCUGUGGGUUCUUGCACUAAUCAGCUGUUGUAUAUGUGAUUCCUCCUCCUUUUGUGUUUUAAAUGUUAUGUAAGAAUUUAUCAAGGAAGCUCUCAUAACUAGUUAGCAACUGCCAUAAUCCUUUUCAUCUCUCUAUGCCUUUCAAUAAUUAACUCAAUCUUAACGUGUUUAAUACUUUGAUUUCUGUAGGAUGCCUCUAGUUUAGGUAAGUGUCUGCUCCCCCCCCCCCCCCCCCCCCCCCCCAACACACACACACACACAAAAAAAAAUGUAAAGUUAAAGAAAGAGAAUGAUGAUUUUACAGAGGAGCAAUAAAAAAAGGUUUUGCGGAGAUCGCCUACAAAAGAGUGUUCCUUUUGUGGUGCAUUUCUUUCCAAUAUUUCUGUAUCUUUAUGGUGUAUAUCUAUGGUUCAUGUAAAAAAGGGGAUCUUGGGCUAGCUCAACUCCAUAAGCUAGGAGAGGAUUACACAAAGCCAUAUAAAGAGACCACAAUCCAUUCCCUAAACGAAUAUGGAACUUAAUAUUUAACACUUUCCUGCAUGCCUAGGACUGAUCAACUGGAGUGUGUUAAUAUAACACAAAACUCAACAUUGAGAAACACAGCAACAGGAUCACAAUGUAGCUGGCUCUAAUGCAUUGUUUAAGAUAUGGAUCUUGUGCCCAAUCAAGCUCCCGAGGAGAGUAUCGCUCUAGAUUUGAGACAACAACCCAUCCCCUCAACCGAUGUGGAACUUAACAGUUCGUAAUAGUUUAUGAAAUUGCUGUUUUGCUGAUCUGGGUGUUGGUUGUGAAGAUUUGUAUUUAUUUUUAAGUCAAUUCAUAGAGUUCCUUAGUAACAAAGAGUAUGAAUGCCCUACACUAAAUCUACAUGUAUAAUUUGUCAACUUGGAAAUGUGUUGGCUGCCUAGUUUAUUAAGAAUUGUGCAUCGGGGCAUAUUUUGACUGGAAUAGCCUUUGAUUAUAGGGUUUACAUUUAAUGAAGUAAAUUCUGUUGGGGCCAGUGGCAAUGAAGUUGUUUGUUGUCACUUCUCCAAUGGAAAACUGUUAGCUAGUGGUCCCAUGACCAAAAGGUUAGUCUACAAGUAUCAAAAAUCUUGCCAUGACAAUGCCUUACUGUUAUGGUUCUUAAAAAAUAACUUGUACUGCUUAUUGUCUGACUUUUAUUUUAGGAUGUUUCAUGGUAGACUGAUACAUUAAAGGAAAAACCAACACUUGAGGAGCAGUCAUCACUCAUUACUGAUGUUCGUUUCAGUCCAAGCAUGGCAAAACUUGCAACAUCUUUUUUUGGGAUGCUGACAAUCCGAGCUACUCACUUUGGACUUUCACUGGGCAUUCUGCUGGUGUAACAUCACUUGAUUUCCAUCCUAAUAAUGAAGCUCUCAUCUAUUCUCGUGAUGGUGAUGGUGAAAUAAGAUUCUGGAGUAUAAAAAAUGGUAGCUGUACAAGUGUGUUCAAGGGUGGAACAGCUCAGGUGAGAUUCCAGCCCUGCAUUGGUAGAUAUCUUUCUCCUGCUGCUGAGAACGUAGUAUCGAUACUUGAUAGGGAGACACAAGCUUGUCGACAUUCGUUAAAGGUUGGUGUUGCAUAAUGACAGACUGGUACAACAACAACAACAACAAACCCAGUGUAUUCCCACCUAGUGGGGUCUGGGGGGGUAAGAUAGUUUAGGAUCUUCACAGGGUUAAUGAGAAUAGGUACCUGCUAUUUACCCUAAUAAAGUGAUACGUGACGAAGAGGCCUCUUAACUUUUGAGGAUAUGAUUGGAGACCAAUACAUUGAGACCCGAGCUUGGGGGCUGCCCAACCAAGAAGUACAAGCCUUGAAGUGUCAAGAAGGCCUUUCAAAACACUCUAAGGCUGCCCAAUUCUAAGGAUAUUUUGGUCAUUUUGUGUAAUAGUUUAAACUAGGCUAUAAAUAGAAUAUGUUAAGUCAUUUUCUCAUAACUUCAUAACUUUGAUGAUAUAUUUUGAGAGCUCUAGAGAGAGAGUCUUGCAUGGUGGAUUCCUUGUAAACAAGUGUGGAUAUCACUUGUGUUGGUGCUAGUUUUGAAACAUUGAUUGCUUGGGAAUCCCGUUCCCUUGAGUUCACCAUAGAGCUUGGUGUUACUUGUAUGAAUUCUUGGGUCUUUGUGUUCAAUAUACACUUAGGUUCAUUGUGUUUGUA